rnacentral:tRNA from 1 species
GAGGUUAUAGCUCAGUGGUAGAGCUCAGGCUUGGUGUGCACAAGGUCCUGGGUUCAAUCCCCAGUGCCUCCG